UAGGGAAUCUUCGGCAAUGGACGAAAGUCUGACCGAGCAACGCCGCGUGAGUGAAGAAGUUUUUCGGAUCGUAAAACUCUGUUGUUAGAGAAGAACAAGGACGUUAGUAACUGAACGUCCCCUGACGGUAUCUAACCAGAAAGCCACGGCUAACUACGUGCCAGCAGCCGCGGUAAUACGUAGGUGGCAAGCGUUGUCCGGAUUUAUUGGGCGUAAAGCGAGCGCAGGCGGUUUCUUAAGUCUGAUGUGAAAGCCCCCGGCUCAACCGGGGAGGGUCAUUGGAAACUGGGAGACUUGAGUGCAGAAGAGGAGAGUGGAAUUCCAUGUGUAGCGGUGAAAUGCGUAGAUAUAUGGAGGAACACCAGUGGCGAAGGCGGCUGUCUGGUCUGUAACUGACGCUGAGGCUAGAAAGCGUGGGGAGCAAACAGG
rnacentral:rRNA from 1 species